GGGGAUUGAAGUUGCUGCGGAUGACAUUUUAUCUAUUAUUUCUUAUUGCUCCUUUGUCCAUUUUAGUCACUCGUUUGGGAAAUGUAAUUGUGUGACAGAUUAGGUUGCAAGAAGCAUAACCAGAGAUAACCUACUUGGCGUGUUAUAAUCCCUGCAGGCAUUGGAAAAUUUGCUGUUAUUUUCUUUUGAAAAUAUUUUUUAAUUAAAAAUCUUAUUGUAAAGAUAGGAUCCAAAAGCAGUAAACAAAAAACGAAAAAGUGAGUCUGUCAGGUGAACAUGUGAAAAAAAUAUGGGAGGCAACAAACAAUUUUUUAGAUAUCAAUUUAUAAAAUGAGAAGCAAUGGGGACUGCGGGUAGUAACUAGUCAUGAUGUCUGUCACUGUUUCAUCUAAGCCAAGAAUAUGUUAAUCUUUCCAUGGAACUGUAUUGUUUUUUUUUUUUUUUUGACAACCAUAUUUAUUUGGUUGAACUUAAGUUGGAGCUAUCAAGCAAAAUAGAUGUAAAAUAAUUCAUUCUUUACAUUAAUUGAACUUGAAACUCAUUCUUACAGUUUACACAAAUAUGAAACCGCUGAAUAAUUCUUGGGAAAGCCAUUAUUGAUGUGGUGCAACCAGGCUUUGGCUAAAGCAUUGCAAAUGACACCAUGGUCCAUGACUGAUUGAUGUGUUCCUUGCAGUCUUUCCAACAUGUCGUCGAAACUCUUAACAACAAAACACUGUUUAUCAAAAUGUUCUAAUAGCCAUAUAUGAUCAUUUAUAGAAAUAAUAAAGAAGUCCAGCAAAAGCCAGUAUUGCAGGUUCUAGUAAGUAGUUCUUAGGCUUGUCCUCACCUUGCCUUCAAAUGAAUAGCAGGCAAUUAGUCCCGGAAAGCCUAAGGCCUUCAAUGUUGAUCCAAUCUAGUUUUAUUGCUAAGCCCACGGAAAGCUUGCCUUAAGAUAAUCCAAACUUGGGACCAAUCUUCCCUCCAAUCCAAAAGGAAGGGAUAUAUCUUUUUGCUAAAACCAUAUAAUAUAAUAAUACAAACAAAAGAAAUAUUAAAUCCGAUUAGACUAGGGCUGUGGAGGAAACUUGGAAUAGAUCCAAUAGACAAAUGUAAUUAGACAUGAAAGACUCUAGAACCUGGACGAUGUAUCCACCUCCUGCUCGGCCAAUCGGCUGCUCUCUUUUCGAUUUGCACUGUGCUGCUGAGUUUGGUUAUCGCUAGAAUCUUCCCAAUUUCUCUACACAUUAAUCACAUCAUCAGAAAUUUCAAGAAUUUCACUACUUUUAUCCACAUAUAAAUAUCCCCUCAAAUCUUCUUACAAUGGCAAUAGAAUUUAACAUUGAAGUAGCAUUCCCUUUAGUCACUAGUUCCAGACUUCCAAUUCAAGAAAUCUAGUUCACUCUCACUCAGCAUAUAUACACAAUGAGGCUCUUGCUGUUGCUCUUGGCUUGUUAUGUUGGC
rnacentral:lncRNA from 1 species